CAGAGUUCAUGCCCUACCGGGUAGAUCUCCCACCCUAUGUUAUUAUUACUUUGUUGCUUUGGCGGGCCGUCAGGCUCCGGCCCGACUACCGGCCCCGGCUGGUAAGCGCCCGCCAGAGGACCCAAAACCCUGAAUAUUAGUGUCGUCUGAGUACUAUAUAAUAGUUAAAACUUUCAACAACGGAUCUCUUGGUUCUGGCAUCGAUGAAGAACGCAGCGAAAUGCGAUAAGUAAUGUGAAUUGCAGAAUUCAGUGAAUCAUCGAAUCUUUGAACGCACAUUGCGCCCCUUGGUAUUCCGGGGGGCAUGCCUGUUCGAGCGUCAUUACAACCCUCAAGCCUGGCUUGGUAUUGGGCUUCGCCACUAACCUGGCGGGCCUUAAAAUCAGUGGCGGUGCCUCCGAGGCCCUGAGCGCAGUAAAUAUCCUCGCUAUAGGGACCCGGUGGUUACUGGCCAGCAACCCCAACUUUCUAAGUUUGACCUCGGAUCAGGUAGGGAUACCCGCUGAACUUAAGCAUAUCAAUAAGCGGAGGAAAAGAAACCAACAGGGAUUGCCUCAGUAACGGCGAGUGAAGCGGCAACAGCUCAAAUUUGAAAUCUGGCUCUUUCAGGGUCCGAGUUGUAAUUUGUAGAAGAUGCUUUGGGUGUGGCUCCGGUCUAAGUUCCUUGGAACAGGACGUCAUAGAGGGUGAGAAUCCCGUAUGUGACUGGCCGCCUUCGCCCGUGUAAAGCUCUUUCGACGAGUCGAGUUGUUUGGGAAUGCAGCUCAAAAUGGGUGGUAAAUUUCAUCUAAAGCUAAAUAUUGGCCAGAGACCGAUAGCGCACAAGUAGAGUGAUCGAAAGAUGAAAAGCACUUUGGAAAGAGAGUUAAACAGUACGUGAAAUUGUUGAAAGGGAAGCGCUUGCAACCAGACUUGCGCGCAGUUAAUCAUCUGGUGUUCUCACUGGUGCACUUU
rnacentral:rRNA from 1 species